AAAAUAAUCCUACCCUUUGUGAAUUUUGUUUGUUUGAAUAAUUUUUUUUUUUAAAAAAUUAUUGGAGUCUUUCCCUUUAGAGUUUGCUUUUGAGUUUGUAAAAGAAUUCGAAAACAUCUAAAGGGGAUGGUCAAUAAUUUUUUUUGAAAAAAGACAUUUUUUAAAAUUAAACUUUUUGUAUUCAUUUGUCUAAAAAUUAUUUUUAUAAUAUAAAAACAACUUUUGACAAUGGAUCUCUUGGUUCUCGCAACGAUGAAGAACGCAGCAAAAUGCGAUAAGUAGUGUGAAUUGCAGAAUACGUGAAUCAUCGAAUCUUUGAACGCAUAUUGCACUUUUUUAGUUUACUAAAAAAGUAUGUCUGUUUGAGUAUCAGUAAAAUAUUCUCAUAAAAAUCAUUGUGUAUUUUAUGGUUAUGAGUGUUUUACAACGAUACAAGUUGUUUCACUUUAAAUUUUUUUUAAUAUUGAAAUUUUUCUAAUCUUAAUAAUUAAAAUUGGAUAAAAUUUUCCCGUCAAAAGGAAUAACCUAAACAAUUUUAAAUGAUUAAUUUUAGCAAAAUUUUCGUAAAAAAGGAAAAUUUUUAUUAAAAUAACUUGAUCUCAAAUCAGAUAAGAGUACCCGCUGAACUUAAGCAUAUCAAUAAGCGGAGGAAAAGAAACUAACAAGGAUUCCCUUAGUAACGGCGAGUGAAGCGGGAAGAGCUCAAAUUUGAAAUCUUCAAGGUUUUACCUUGACGAAUUGUAGUUUAAAGAAGUGUUUUCUGCUGAAGUUUUGGUAAAAGUUCUUUGGAAUAGGACAUCAUAGAGGGUGAGAAUCCCGUAUUGACCAUUAUUUUCAGCUUUGUGAUACACUUUCAAAGAGUCGGAUUGUUUGGGAAUGCAGUCCAAAAUGGGUGGUAAAUUUCAUCUAAAGCUAAGUAUUGGCGAGAGACCGAUAGCGAACAAGUACCGUGAGGGAAAGAUGAAAAGAACUUUGAAAAGAGAGUUAAACAGUACGUGAAAUUGUCAAAAGGGAAGCGUUUGACACCAGUGUUGUUUUCUCGAAAAUCAAUUAAAAAUGGCUCGAUUUUGUAUUGCUUGAGACCUUAAAAGCUCACUGUACAUUUUUCGUGUCUUUUUUAAUGCACUUUUCGUUUAACAAGUCAACAUCAGUUUCUUUUGUUGUAAAAGGGUCAUUGGAAGGUGGCUUUCUUUUCGGAGAAAGUGUUUAUAGCCUUUGGCCUCUGCAAUCGAAGAGACUGAGGUCUGCAGCGUAGACUCUUCGGGUUAGAUACAUUUGUGCUAAGUUAUAGCUUUUUAUAGACAACUUGUUGACUAUAAUUAGUCUUGUAGCUUACUCGCUUAUGCUAUUUUACCUACGCUUAGGAUG
rnacentral:misc_RNA from 1 species